UACGAAGGGGGCUAGCGUUGUUCGGAAUUACUGGGCGUAAAGCGCACGUAGGCGGACUAUUAAGUCAGGGGUGAAAUCCCGGGGCUCAACCCCGGAACUGCCUUUGAUACUGGUAGUCUCGAGUCCGGAAGAGGUGAGUGGAAUUCCGAGUGUAGAGGUGAAAUUCGUAGAUAUUCGCAAGAACACCAGUGGCGAAGGCGGCUCACUGGCCCGGUACUGACGCUGAGGCACGAAAGCGUGGGGAGCAACAGGG
rnacentral:rRNA from 1 species